CUGUGCAGUGCUACAUCCACUGAUAAUUCAGCAGCUGAGGAACUCAGCAAAGCCUGCUCCAAACUUCUCAGCUGUUGACAGGCUUGACUUGCUGAGAACACUGGUUAAAUAUAGCACAAGCGAGCUGAGCUCAACAAAGUCAUUGCUGUAACACUGUGUGAAGAGACCAGAAGAGGGGAAAUACAAUCUGAGAACUAAACUGCCAAAGCCUAACACCACCUAGCAACAGUUGAAAAAACUUUUAAACAAAAGUCUGGGUGAGACACAGACAGAGUAUACCUCCUACUUCUCCUGCCUGGGAUUUCUGCGAGAAGCAACUCAGUCCUCUGUUCUCUACCCUAUUUCCUUCAUUCCUUCAGCUGCUGGUAGACCUUGAAAAGUGGGAAAAGUUUCUCUCUUUGUGUUCUCCUGGGCUGGAUCAGGCUACUGCUGUGGUAGUACUGUGGGACAAGCUACUGCGAUCUGGCAGUGUAAAGGAUCUAUUCCUAAGUUCUUGCUGACAGGGAGCAGCAGGGACUCCAGUCAGCCUCAGGUGGGAGCAGCAGAGCGAUGACACAGGGACAGCUCCAUCCUCGACCCCCUCCUACCCCCUCCGGACCUAGAUUCUAGCGAAGCCCCUGCUCUGGAAGCGUCCCUCGACACAGGUAGGGAUGAGAUCCCGAAACCAAGGCGGAGAAAGCUCGUCUAACGGGCACUUCUCCAAUUCCAAGCCUGUCAUCAGCCAUGCAGAGAAUGAAAAACUCCAGGAUGAUGCCAAGAAAAAGAACAAACCUCAUCGGAAGGAAGAUGAGGUCAUGGUUUCAGCAACUGUCAAACGGCACUCAAGAUCACCUGGGCCUAGUGAACGAAAGAACAAGAAGUCCAUAGAGCUCUCUAAAGAGGACUUGAUCAAACUCCUCAGUAUAAUGGAAGGAGAACUGCAGGCAAGAGAGGAUGUGAUCCACAUGCUGAAGACAGAGAAAACCAAACCUGAAGUUUUAGAAGCUCAUUACGGGUCUGCCGCUCCAGAGAGUGUGCUGCGAGUGCUACACAGAGAUGCCAUCCUUGCCCAAGAAAAAUCUAUAGGGGAAGACGUCUAUGAGAAACCAAUUUCAGAGCUGGACAGGCUUGAAGAAAAGCAGAAGGAGACAUAUCGACGCAUGCUGGAACAGCUUCUUUUGGCAGAAAAAUGCCAUCGCCGCACAGUUUAUGAGCUUGAAAACGAGAAGCAUAAACAUACAGAUUACAUGAACAAGAGCGAUGACUUUACCAACCUCUUGGAGCAGGAGCGGGAAAGGUUGAAGAAACUUCUUGAGCAGGAGAAGAUCUAUCAAGCUCGUAAGGAGAAAGAACAUACAAAGAGACUCAGUAAACUAAGAGAAGAACUUGUCAAGCUCAAGUCAUUUGCACUCAUGCUGGUGGAUGAAAGACAAAUGCAUAUUGAACAACUUGGUCAACAAAGCCAGAAAAUACAAGAUUUAAAUCAAAAACUAAAGGAAGAAGAAGAAAAGCUUAAAAUCAUUACUGCAAAAGCAAAAGAGGAUGGACAAAAACUGAUGAAGUUAGAGACAGAACUUGAACACAAAACAUCAUCAUUUUCUCAAGAACAUGAGGAGAUGACGGCUAAACUGGCUAAUCAAGAGUCACAUAACAGACAGCUAAGGCUUAAGUUGGUUGGGUUGACUCGCAGAAUAGAGGAGUUAGAAGAAACUAACAAAAGUCUUCAAAAAGCUGAGGAGGAACUUCAAGAACUAAGAGAUAAAAUAGCAAAAGGGGAAUGUGGGAACUCUAGCUUAAUGGCAGAAGUGGAAAACCUUCGCAAGCGUGUGCUUGAAAUGGAGGGAAAAGAUGAAGAGAUCACAAAAACCGAAUCCCAGUGUAAAGAACUGAAAAAUAAACUGCAAGAGGAAGAGCACCAUAGCAAAGAGCUGAAACUUGAAGUGGAAAAGUUGCAGAAGAGAAUGUCAGAACUGGAGAAGCUGGAAGAGGCUUUCAGUAAAAGUAAGUCUGAAUGCACCCAGCUACACAUAAACUUGGAGAAAGAAAAGAAUUUAACUAAGGAUUUGAUAAAUGAGUUGGAAGUGGUGAAGACUCGAGUGAAAGACCUUGAGGCAUCAGAAAGUAAGUUGGAAAAGGCUGAAAUAAGCUUAAAAGAUGACCUUACAAAGCUGAAGUCGUUUACUGUAAUGUUGGUCGAUGAACGGAAAAAUAUGAUGGAAAAAAUAAAGCAGGAGGAAAAAAGGGUUGAGGGUCUAAACAAGAAUUUUAAAGUUGAACAAGGGAAAGUUAUGGAUGUAACAGAGAAGCUGAUAGAAGAAAGUAAGAAAUUUUUGAAACUGAAAUCUGAAAUGGAGGAAAAGGUGUCUAGUUUGACAAAGGAAAGGGAUGAGUUGAUUGGCAAACUGAAAAGUGAAGAAGAAAAAUCCUCUGAACUAAGCUGUAGAGUUGACCUGUUAAAGAAAAGAAUUGAUGGUAUGGAGGAAGUAGAAAGAGAAAUUACGAGAGGUCGAACCAGAAAAGGACCAGAGCAUGGUUGUCAUGAGGACAACAAGAUUAAGGAGCUUACCAUUGAAAUUGAAAGACUGAAAAAACGUCUCAAACAAUUGGAAGUGGUUGAAGGAGAUUUGAUGAAGACAGAAGAUGAAUAUGAUCAGCUAGAGCAGAAAUUUAGGACUGAGCAGGAUAAAGCUAACUUACUUUCUCAACAGCUGGAGGAGAUGAAGCUCCAGAUUGCCAAAAACAAAGCAAUAGAAAAAGGUGAAGCAGUGAGCCAGGAGGCAGAGUUGAGGCACAGGUUUCGUCUGGAAGAGGCUAAAAGCAGAGAUUUGAAAGCAGAAGUUCAAGCUCUUAAGGAGAAAAUCCAUGAGCUGAUGAACAAAGAAGACCAACUUUCUCAGCUUCAGGUUGAUUACUCGGUUCUGCAGCAGAGGUUUAUGGAAGAAGAAAAUAAGAACAAGAGCAUGGGACAGGAGGUUUUGAACCUAACAAGAGAGUUAGAGCUUUCUAAGCGUUACAGCCGUGCUCUGAGACCCAGCAUAAAUGGACGAAGAAUAGUUGAUGUUCCUGUGACAUCCACUGGUGUGCAAACAGAUGCUGUAAGCAGUGAAGCAGCUGAAGAAGAAACUCCAGCUGUGUUUAUACGAAAAUCCUUCCAGGAGGAGAAUCAUAUAAUGAGCAAUCUGCGACAGGUAGGUCUGAAGAAACCCAUGGAGCGUUCUUCAGUCCUUGAGAGAUAUCCUCCAGCGGCGAAUGACCUUGCAAUGAGGAAAUCUUGGAUACCAUGGAUGAGAAAGAGGGAAACUGGGGCUCAGGCAACUCCAGAUAAAGGAGCCCGAGCCCAUGGUAGUCCAGCGCAUCCUGGCGAGGUUGUCCUUUCGCCAAAACAGGGUCAGCCUCUUCAUAUUCGGGUGACACCAGAUCAUGAGAACAGCACAGCUACUUUGGAGAUAACUAGUCCAACCUCAGAGGAGUUUUUUUCAAGUACAACUGUCAUUCCUACUUUGGGAAAUCAGAAGCCACGAAUAACCAUAAUUCCCUCUCCAAAUGUUAUGCCCCAAAAAGGAAAAGGCAGCGAAAGUCCAAUGGGCCCAGACCGUUCUAUGUCUCCAGUCACGAUUACAACAUUCUCCAGAGAAAAGUCUCCAGAUGGAGGGAGAGCACCCUUCGUCGACAGACCUGCAUCACCGAUUCAGAUUAUGACAGUAUCGACAUCCGCAGCACCAACAGAAAUCUCUGUUUCCCCUCAGUCACAAGACACGACCAUGGGAAGGGCUGUCUUCAAAGUUACACCAGAAAAACAAACCGUCCCAACUCCAAUCCGGAAAUACAACGCCAACGCCAACAUUAUUACAACAGAAGACAACAAAAUCCACAUCCACUUAGGUUCCCAGUUUAAACGCUCUCCUGGUGCCACGCUGGAUGGUGCAAAUCCUGUGAUAACAGUCAGACCAGUGAACAUAGCAGCCGAGAAGGAGGUUGUCACUGGCACCGUCCUUCGAUCACCCCGGAACAACCUGUCCUCGCGACCUGCAGCGAGCAAAGUGACAAGUACUAUCACCAUAACUCCUGUUACUACGUCUUCCACACGAGGAACACAGUCAGUGCCCUGUGCAGAUAGCUUGAAUAGCCCAGAGCAUCUCAAAUUGCACUGGAUACCUUUGCCUCAGCCGCUGAACCGAACCGUUUUUGUCCAGGGUAAGCUGCUCCCCGAUCUGAUUAAGAACAAAUGCUGAAAAUGCACCUCUUAUUAAAAUAUCCCAAAAGUGAACAUGUGCAUGAAAGCUCUCUUUUCCAUCAAAUGCACCACGCGAGAUCUGUUACAAACCACGAAAACACAGUAAAUGUUGUGUACAUUCAGAUUGCUUUUCGCCCUUUAAUGCAACUGUCCAACCUCACUGAUUAUUGCACUUGCAAGUGAGCUCUGCUUAUCGACCCAAACAGCUUGGUGGCUGCACGUAUUUGUCCUGCAGUCAGAAUGCAGUAAUGUGUUCAGUGGCCUGCCUCUGGCUGCCUGCACUGCUCCAGUACCAUGCACAGCCAGCUCACAGCCAGGGAACUUCACCCUGCUUUCCUCUGGAGCUGCUUCGCUGCCAAGUUGUGCUGGCUGCACAAGAAUUGAGCGGGUUUUCUGGGGUUUCGGCCACAGACAUGACUGAAGCCUCCCAGCAGCCCGUGCCUGCUUCUGCCGUCACUCUUGCUUGCACAAGGGGACGUCUUGCUGAAGAGCCACCUUUGUGCUGUUUUUCUUUGCUUAGCAAACACAAAAUGCUUUUGCAGCCGUCUGUGAAGCGGGCAUUAGCUUCUACAUGAUCAACAUGUUUGUAUGCCACAAUGAAGGAAACUAAAAAUUUUAAAACAAGUUAAGAGUUCUUUUCAAAGUGAUUUUGAGUGAUUUAGACUUGAAAUGAGUAACUUGAAAGCACCCAAAUCCUUAGCUAAUAAUUAACAUGCGAAUAAAGCUGAAGAAAUGCCUGAGAUUCCAGCUACUUCAUUUGAUUGCCUCAUGUUUACACACUGUGGAGCUCUUUCAGGGAGCACAAGAUGUUUGUCAUUUGGGUUCCCUGGGAUGUUGACAUAUUUUCCAAGGCUGAUGGAAUGCAUUUGCAUGUUUUGCCCUACAGAAUUGUAUGGACCUAACUUGUUUUGACAUCUACAUACAGGACAGGAUGGGUCAUCCCCGAGACCUACACCCACCCGCAUUCCUGUGUCAAAAGAGAGCGUCAUCAUUCACCAGUUACGCAUGAGCUCCAGAUGAGUUACCAGCCCCGUAGAUUCUCUCUGUGUGCGCUGCCCUCCUUGCCAGUUGGAUGGAUCAUUGGAGAAGCUCUCUACCAUCAACACCAGGGUCACUUGUGCUACUGAUUCUUCGUGGAAGUAUUUAUUGCUUCCAUUACAUUUUAUGUAUUUUAUCUUGGUAGAGCUUUAAGAACGAAGGGCCUUGCUGAUAUUUUUGAAGGAUACAGGCCGGGAUACAGGGGGAAAAGCAGUCUUUCUGCCAGCUGAAUUUCACUUUUAUUUGCAAAGCCUAAGGCACGCGCUUGAUUUCGUUUGAUGUUUGCUAUAUAAUUUAUUUUUAUAAUACACUUUGUAAAGUAACUGUCCCGAAGUUGCAAUUCCUGUUGUCCAUGGCGCAUUUAUUUGUAGAAUACACUGUCAAAUUUGCAAUUCGAUAUUUUUGUAAUAUAGAGUAUGUAAAGAAAGAAAAAUUUAACUUCAACAAUGUUUUGUUUUUAAAUGAAAAAAUAACUCAGCGCAAUUUUUUGCCACCAUAUGAUUCUGUGAGACUAAAUACUCUGAAGACUGCUGUAUGGAACUUGUACUAUUGCAGAAUAUUUCUUGCACUGUGUGAUGGUUUGGCAUAAAACUAUUAACUAUUAAAGUCCAAUGUCUUGAAAUACAACCAGAUUUACUCAUUUUAAACAAUGUAAGCCGGUUUUUAAAGCUGUGAUUUUUUUUCUAUAUAAUGUAUGUUUUUAUUCUGCCUGUACCAAAAAAGUUGAUUUUCACUACACUGUAACUAAUAAAUUUUCACAACUAUGCAAAUGUAAGCGUUUCAAUUUUAACUCUAUUUUCUUAAUGUUGACAGUCUUUGCAUACACAUUUGUUUAUAGGGACAUGAUGUAUGGCUUUGGAAGUGACUUUUUCUGACAGGUAUUUCACUGCAGUAUCACAGUGACGUACCUAGUAAAACCGCCUCUAAUAUUGUUUAUGAUCCGAAGAGGGAUCUAUCACCAAGCACUCAAUGACAUAAUCGUGCUAACCUGGUGCUCUCACUGCUUUGGCAGAUAGGUUCAGUUGAUACGAUCAGACUGUUUAGUGCACGACUAACAGGACUGUAUACAUGAGAUGCCAUGUGGUGAAAUCAGCGUUUUACACUGGUGGCUGUAGCUUUUCAAAUAGCACCCAGAGACUUCUGUGGCAGCUACACUUAAAAUGAUUUUUGAAUGAAUUACACGUAAAGCUGGAUAAAAUGUCAGAUCUUUUUUUUUUUUACUUUCCUUUUUUUUUUUUAUUAUACAUUUCAUAAUAAAUUACCUUUAAUCUAAGUCGUGGGCACAUAUUUAAAAUACCACAUUUUUUUUUUUUUAAUUGUAGAAGCUACUGGGAGAAACUAUUUUUUGGAAGAGAAAGCAGCGUUGCUUGCAGGAGAUAUGUUGUGGGAUGCCAGAAAAAGUGCAUUAACUCAGUGUCCCACUGAGAUGAGUAGGCCAGUUACCUUUGAAGCUGGAAUAACGCAUUGGUACAUAGCCAAUUUGAUCUUCAUGCUUUAGCUUGCUUGCCAACCAUGGGAGCUAUUUUAUCUCCUAUAUACGAGCUCCGCACCAAAUGUUGAAACUGUAGAGAGUCAGGAUAUUUUUGGACCUGUAGGAACUCUCUUGGAGUUGAUCUGCACUGCGAGGAGAUAGCCAAUGCAGCUCUACUGAGUAAUCUAAACAAAAUAAAUGCUGUUUAUACUUACCAAACUAAUUUGUUGCUAUAGCUUUUGACUACACCAGGACUUCAGCAGGUAGGCCUUUUUUUAAUUUUAUUUUUAAAUUUUUUUUACAACUGACAAUUACGUAGCUGUGUCUGUAGGUCAAAUUUUAGAGUGAGUUUAGAAGAAUUCCAGCUUUCAGAGAGUAAUAGAGCUUGGGGUGAAUCAUGUUUAGUAUGUGCCAUGUUUCAAUUUACUGUGCAGUGGAAUGAACAUAGUGCUGACCCAAAUCUUCUAGUUUCAAAGCAUCACUUGUGAAUCCAGAACUAACCGUGAGCUCACCUGGAAUGAAAUUGCCAGCUAUUUGAAAGUGACAGUGACAUGCCUGAAAUAGUUUUGCAGUAUGAGCAACAUAUAAUACAACCUUACUUUGAAGUUGAGACAGGAUUAAAAAAGAUCCUAUCAAAGUAGAAAAUACUUUCCUUGUCUAGAUUUUAAUAUAAAGCUGAUUCAGUAUGAGUGUAUGUACAAGUUGUCCCCUUUUGUUUUAUGAUUCCUAAACAAAUACAUAAACUUUUACGGUUUCGCAAAUGCAUUACGUUUUUAAGCUUUAAAAAAUAAAGACUUGUUUAAAGCAUAAA